GACAGAGGAUGCAAGCGUUAUCCGGAAUGAUUGGGCGUAAAGCGUCUGUAGGUGGCUUUUUAAGUCCGCCGUCAAAUCCCAGGGCUCAACCCUGGACAGGCGGUGGAAACUACCAAGCUGGAGUACGGUAGGGGCAGAGGGAAUUUCAGGUGUAGCGGUGAAAUGCGUAGAUAUCUGAAGGAACAUCAGUGGCGAAAGCGACUUCCUGGACGAAUACUGACGCUCAUGUGCGAAAGCGUGGGGAGCAAACAGG
rnacentral:rRNA from 1 species